UACGGAGGGGACUAGCGUUGUUCGGAAUUACUGGGCGUAAAGCGCACGUAGGCGGAUUUGUAAGUCAGGGGUGAAAUCCCGAGGCUCAACCUCGGAACUGCCUUUGAUACUGCAAAUCUCGAGUCCGGAAGAGGUGAGUGGAAUUCCUAGUGUAGAGGAGAAAUUCGUAGAUAUUAGGAAGAACACCAGUGGCGAAGGCGGCUCACUGGCCCGGUACUGACGCUGAGGUGCGAAAGCGUGGGGAGCAAACAGG
rnacentral:rRNA from 1 species